GACGAACGCUGGCGGCGUGCUUAACACAUGCAAGUCGAACGGAAAGGCCUCUUUCGGGGGGUACUCGAGUGGCGAACGGGUGAGUAACACGUGAGUAACCUGCCCUUGACUUUGGGAUAACUUCAGGAAACUGGGGCUAAUACCGGAUAGGAGCUCCUGCUGCAUGGUGGGGGUUGGAAAGUUUCGGCGGGUGGGGAUUGACUCGCGGCUUAUCAGCUCGGUGGUGGGGUAGUGGCUUACCAAGGCUUUGACGGGUAGCCGGCCUGAGAGGGUGACCGGCCAGAUUGGGACUGAGAUACGGCCGAGACGCCUACGGGAGGGAGAAGUGGGGAAGAUUGCACAAUGGGUGGAAGCCUGAUGCAGCAAGGCCGUGUGCGGGAGGACGGCCUUCGGGUUGGAAAACGCAUUCGCUCAUGACGAAGCUUUGUGUGACGGUAGUGAGUAAAGAAGCACCGGCUAACUACGUG
rnacentral:rRNA from 1 species